AAUUAAGCUAUGAAGAGAUGAGUAAAUAAUUAUUUUUCCUACAGAGAGCUAGAUAAGGUGAAAGCUAGUGUUAAAAGAGUUAUUGAAUAUGGUCUUGGAGCUAUUUUAUCCGAAUAGUAGAUUAAUAUCUAUUUUUAAGAUAAAACGGAUGGACUCGUUAUCGUCUUUUGAGAUAUCUAAUAUAAUAUUUUUUAUUAGAUAAAGUUAGGGUGGUACCGCGAAUAUAACCUCGCCCCUAUG
rnacentral:ncRNA from 1 species